GACGAACGCUGGCGGUGUGCUUAACACAUGCAAGUCGAACGGUAAGGCCCUUUCGGGGGUACACGAGUGGCGAACGGGGGAGUAACACGUGAGUAACCUGCCCUCAUCUCUGGGAUAACAGUCGGAAACGGUUGCUAAUACUGGAUAUGAGCUUUCAAGGCAUCUUGUGGGUUGGAAAGAUUUUUUUUGGUUGGGGAUGGACUCGCGGCCUAUCAGCUUGUUGGUGAGGUAGUGGCUCACCAAGGCUUCGACGGGUAGCCGGCCUGAGAGGGCGACCGGCCACAUGGGGACUGAGAUACGGCCCAAACUCCUACGGGAGGCAGCAGUGGGGAAUAUUGCACAAUGGACGGAAGUCUGAUGCAGCAACGCCGCGUGCGGGAUGAAGGCCUUCGGGUUGUAAACCGCUUUAAAUUGUGACGAAGCGUUUUUGUGACGGUAGCAGUAGAAGAAGCACCGGCUAACUACGUG
rnacentral:rRNA from 1 species